rnacentral:rRNA from 1 species
UACGGAGGGUGCGAGCGUGUCCGGAAUCAUUGGGCGUAAAGGGCGCGUAGGUGGCGGGACAAGCGUGCGGUGAAAGCCUGGGGCUCAACCCCGGGUCGGCCGUGCGAACUGUUUUGCUUGAGCACUGUAGAGGCAGGCGGAAUUCCGGGUGUAGCGGUGGAAUGCGUAGAGAUCCGGAAGAACACCGGUGGCGAAGGCGGCCUGCUGGGCAGUAGCUGACACUGAGGCGCGACAGCGUGGGGAGCAAACAGG